UCCGGUGUCGAUGCGUCUGGGGGACACACCCGUUCCCAUCCCGAACACGACGGUUAAGACCCAGACGGCCGAUGGUACUAUGCUGGAGACGGCAUGGGAGAGUAGGUGGAUGCCGGAG
rnacentral:rRNA from 1 species